rnacentral:rRNA from 1 species
CUACGUGCCAGCAGCCGCGGUAAUACAGAGGGUGCAAGCGUUAAUCGGAAUUACUGGGCGUAAAGCGAGCGUAGGUGGUCAUUUAAGUCAGAUGUGAAAUCCCCGGGCUUAACCUGGGAACUGCAUCUGAUACUGGGUGACUAGAGUAGGUGAGAGGGAAGUAGAAUUCCAGGUGUAGCGGUGAAAUGCGUAGAGAUCUGGAGGAAUACCGAUGGCGAAGGCAGCUUCCUGGCAUCAUACUGACACUGAGGCUCGAAAGCGUGGGUAGCAAACAGGAUUAGAUACCCUGGUAGUCCACGCCGUAAACGAUGUCUACCAGUCGUUGGGUCUCUUGAAGACUUAGUGACGCAGUUAACGCGAUAAGUAGACCGCCUGGGGAGUACGGCCGCAAGGUUAAAACUCAAAUGAAUUGACGGGGGCCCGCACAAGCGGUGGAGCAUGUGGUUUAAUUCGAUGCAACGCGAAGAACCUUACCUACUCUUGAC